rnacentral:tRNA from 1 species
GGAGGGUUGGCAGAGCGGCUGAAUGCACCGGUCUUGAAAACCGGCGAAGGUCACACUUCCCAGGGUUCGAAUCCCUGAUCCUCCGCCA